rnacentral:rRNA from 1 species
CCUACGGGAGGCAGCAGUGGGGAAUAUUGGACAAUGGGGGCAACCCUGAUCCAGCCAUGCCGCGUGAGUGAAGAAGGCCCUAGGGUUGUAAAACUCUUUCGGCGGGGAAGAUGAUGACGGUACCCGCAGAAGAAGCCCCGGCUAACUCCGUGCCAGCAGCCGCGGUAAUACGGAGGGGGCUAGCGUUGUUCGGGAAUCACUGGGCGUAAAGCGCGCGUAGGCGGUCCGCAUAGUCAGGCGUGAAAGCCCCGGGCUCAACCUGGGAACUGCGUUUGAUACUGGCGGGGCUAGAGUACGGGAGAGGGUUAGUGGAAUUCCCAGUGUAAGGUGAAAUUCGUAGAUAUUGGGAAGAACACCAGUGGCGAAGGCGGCUACCUGGACCGUUACUGACGCUGAGGUGCGAAAGCGUGGGGAGCAAACGGAUUAGAUACCCUGGUAGUCCACGCCGUAAACGAUGAGUGCUAAUGUCGGGGGGCCUAGCCCUUCGGUGUCGCAGCUAACGCAUUAAGCACUCCGCCUGGGGAGUACGGCCGCAGUUAAAACUCAAAGGAAUUGACGG